CCGUCUUCGAGGCAUGUUGGUCCUGCUUUUGUACGGACGGGAGGAAUAAAGUGCAUCACCAUAUCGUAUCUGUUCCACCGUUAUCAUGGAUGGAACAUUUUCCAGUAUUACCUUGAGGAAUGGCACACGUGGAUCAUUGAUAUGCAUUGUUGAAUAACUGACGGGAGGAGUAAAGUGCAUCACCAUAUCGUAUCUAUUCCACCGUUAUCAUGGAUGGAACAUUUUCCAAGUAUGUACGUCAUUACCUUGAGGAAUGGCACACGUGGAUCAUUGACAUGCAUUCUUGAACAACUGACGUAUCUGUUCCACCGUUAUUAUGGAUGGAUUUUCCAAGUAUGUACGUCAUUUCCUUGAGGAAUGGCACAAGUGGAUCAUUGGCAUGCAUUCUUGAACAACUGACGGGAGGAAUAAAGUGCAUCACCAUAUCGUAUCUGUUCCACCGUUAUCAUGGAUGGAACAUUUUCCAGUAUUACCUUGAGGAAUGGCACACGUGGAUCAUUGAUAUGCAUUGUUGAAUAACUGACGGGAGGAGUAAAGUGCAUCACCAUAUCGUAUCUAUUCCACCGUUAUCAUGGAUGGAACAUUUUCCAAGUAUGUACGUCAUUACCUUGAGGAAUGGCACACGUGGAUCAUUGACAUGCAUUCUUGAACAACUGACGGGAGGAAUAAAGUGCAUCACCAUAUCGUAUCUGUUCCACCGUUAUCAUGGAUGGAACAUUUUCCAGUAUUACCUUGAGGAAUGGCACACGUGGAUCAUUGAUAUGCAUUGUUGAAUAACUGACGAGAGGAAUAAAGUGCAUCACCAUAUCGUAUCUGUUCCACCGUUCUUAUGGAUGGAUUUUCCAAGUAUGUACGUCAUUACCUUGAGGAAUGGCACAAGUGGAUCAUUGACAAGCAUUCUUGAACAACUGGUAUAUCACGAUCCUGACUGGUCACGCAAGUAUUAAGCCAUUUGGGUCGAAGGAAAUGCUAGCAAGUCUUGGUCUUCGCCUGGAAGUAGGAUUGCUAGAUACACAUCACUGAAAAAGGAUAAAGAAACCUCUUCAAAACAUGGAGCUGUAGCUCGUCGUACGGUUAAAAAAAAGUAAAAGGAACAGCUGGAAUAUUUUACUUCAACAAUCAACGAGAUGACGCCUUCGACCACGGUGUGGAAGUCAGAGCCUCAUCCGGAAAUCGUCCUCUCCUCCAUUGGCCUACAAUAAAAGAUUUGCAGAACCAUGUGCCUUAAACUCAAGUGACCUUAUCGUUCAUCGGAAUAACUCUAACACCGAAACUGAUCCAAGUACGAAGCACCACGAGACAAUACCUCAGCAUGAUAUUAUCAAUGAUUCGUUCACCUUUGGGAAACCUAAAUGCCGCAACACCAGUCCAGGUUCGGACGGCAUUCCGAAUUCAUUGAUCAAGAAUCCAUCCUCUUAGCUGGAAUAUUUACAGAGAACAUUCAACCAUGGUUGGAAUCCACACGCAUUCCCCGAUCAUCGGAAGGAGGCCAUCGUAAUCCCGAUCCACAAGGCGAAUAAUGAUCGAGCACAAACUUCAAUCUAUCGACCAGUCUCACUUACGUGUAACCUGGGUAAGGCGCUUCGGGGGCGGCUAGGAAAGGAAGAUCUGGACCACUGAAUCAAGUAUCAAGUAUCAAGUAUCAAGUAUCAAGUAUCAAGUAUCAAGUAUCAAG